GUAUUAAGCGUAAACAAGCCGAGAGAAUCAGAAGCCAUAUUGUCGCAGUUGUCGUUACACGGCAAGGCACAGAAACGAAAAAUCGUCAGAAAAUAAGACAUUCUAGCUAAAAGCUUGUUGGCAUUGGAUUUAUAAUGGCUGUGUUGGUGUCUGUGUUGGGUGGAAUAGGCUUGGUCUGUGCAAUAGCUGCUCUUAUGGGAAUCAGUGUUUGUAUGAUCGUCAGACAAGGUCGCAAUGCAGAGAAGGACGAAAAAGAAGGCAAAACUCCAAACUAUUAUAGUAGGUUUGGUGGCCGUUACUCCUACUAUCAUCCUUUGUUUAUCUAAAAUAUACGCCUUUGCUGUUCAACUUGUUUAAUAUUGGUUUAGCGGAAGAAAAGACACUGUAAACUUCAAAAUAAUGAUGAAUCAAUAAGGGAUCAUUAUAACCUUAUAUAGGCUUAAAUACGCUUAAUUACGAGAGUAAAGCAAUGCUUUCUAGGAUAAUAUUAUUAGAACGUAAAAAUGAAUUAUUUUGAUGUUGUAUCAGUGUUGAAUAAAAAUGACAUUUAUUCAUCAUAAUGGUUUCCGUGCAGCAAGACGUCGCCAUUCUGAACCUGCUUUUUUGAUUUGUUCCCCAUAGAGUUCAAGCACUUCUUGACCAAUAUUUUGUCAUUUUAAUGCUAUUGUGUUUUACAUUGUAAACCAGGCGAUGUAGCGAAAUCUUCUUUAGCCAUAUUUUCGCUCUACGUCUUCAAAAAAUCCAUAAUGUGUUUCCUUGCAUACUUCGUUCAUUAUAAAGGUCUUCUACGUUGACGCAUUAAA